AUCGCAAAGAAGAUCCCAUGAUUUUGGGAGAAAAAGGGGAAGAUGACACAUUCAUCGCUGCUCCUACUGUUUUUCGUGGCCGCCGUGGCCGCAUCCAGCUUCGACGACUCCAACCCCAUCCGGCUGGUAUCCGACGAGCUCCACGGAAUCGAGUCACAGGUCCGGCACGUGAUCGGCGAGAGCGCCCAUGCAGUGUCGUUCGCCCGCUUCGCCCGGCGCUUCAGGAAGAGCUACCGGACGACGGAGGAGAUGAAGCGAAGGUUCCAGAUCUUCUCUGAUAAUCUGAAACUCAUCAGAUCCACCAACAGGAAGCGACUUUCGUACACUCUCGGUGUUAAUCACUUUGCUGAUUGGAGUUGGGAGGAGUUCAAAACACAGAGACUUGGCGCUGCUCAAAAUUGCUCUGCCACCCUCAAAGGCAGCCACAAGAUCACCCAAGCUCCUCUUCCUGAAUCGAAAGACUGGAGAGAAGAAGGUAUAGUCAGUCCAGUAAAAAAUCAAGGCCAGUGCGGAUCUUGCUGGACAUUCAGCACAACUGGAGCAUUGGAGGCUGCCUAUGCUCAAGCAUAUGGAAAGAAUAUCUCUCUUUCUGAGCAGCAGCUGGUGGAUUGUGCUGGUAAUUUCAACAACUUUGGCUGCAAUGGUGGGUUACCGUCCCAAGCCUUUGAGUAUAUUAAAUACAACGGUGGCCUUGAGACUGAGGAGGCAUACCCCUAUACUGCAAAAGAUGGUGUUUGCAAAUUUACAGCUGCAAAUGUUGCCGUUCAGGUCACUGAGUCUUUCAACAUCACCCUGGGUGCUGAGGAUGAAUUGAAACACGCAGUUGCUUUUGUUCGGCCAGUUAGUGUGGCAUUUGAGGUGGUUGACAGCUUCCAAUUGUACGCCGGAGGAGUUUACACUAGUAAAACUUGUGGCAGCAAGCCAAUGGAUGUGAAUCAUGCUGUUCUUGCCAUUGGGUAUGGAGUUGAAGGUGGUGUCCCGUAUUGGCUCAUAAAAAAUUCGUGGGGAGAAGAAUGGGGUGACAAAGGCUACUUCAAGAUGGAAAUGGGCAAGAAUAUGUGUGGUGUUGCAACUUGUGCGUCGUAUCCUUCUGUGGCAUAAUUUGUAUGCGGAUACAUGUGGUGGCUGUUAGGCAGCGCUUGUGAUUUCUGCCACCUACUUCAAAGGAUGAGAAGAGGUGGGGCUUCCUCUGCCGCAUGACAUUGCACGUGAAAGUGGAUAUGGGCCGAAGUUCAGGGAAAAGGGAGUUAGGAGUGUGGGACCCACAAAUAAUGGGGCCAUGAGCAUGAGAAUUGAGACGAAAUGGAUGAAGAGUCAAGAGAGACAGACCAUGGAAAUUAUGGUUGAUGAGGAUGGCCCUUCAUCAGCGCUGAGAAGUAAUAGGAGCAAACAAAACGUGGUUGCUCUAGAUUGAAUUGACCAGACACGUGGCAUGAUCUCGGUAUUCAUAGGGACAAGCCUCGCCGGCCCACCACCACUGCCUGCCAGAGCCAGCAACGUGCCACCUCCCCUCCUCGUUAUUGAUGCUUUUACAUUACUAUACAAUAUUAUCCAUAAUAAACUGGUCAAUCACAUACCUCUAAAUUUUAAUUAAAAAAAAUCAUAACUAGUAAUAGUAUACUAGUAUAUCCAAUAAUCUUUUUUCCCCAAAAUAUUGUUAUUACUUACUCAAUUCCGGGGAUAGGUUUUCUUUUCAUACAUUCAAUAUUUGAUCAACCUUAUUAUGUAUUCUGUGAACCACAAAUUACAAACUGGCAGCUUUGCAUAAUGACAA